rnacentral:rRNA from 1 species
UACGGAGGGGGCAAGCGUUGUUCGGAAUUACUGGGCGUAAAGCGCACGUAGGCGGAUUGUUAAGUCGGGGGUGAAAUCCUGGAGCUCAACUCCAGAACUGCCUUCGAUACUGGCGAUCUCGAGUUCGGGAGAGGUGAGUGGAACUGCGAGUGUAGAGGUGAAAUUCGUAGAUAUUCGCAAGAACACCAGUGGCGAAGGCGGCUCACUGGCCCGAUACUGACGCUGAGGUGCGAAAGCGUGGGGAGCAAACAGGG